rnacentral:rRNA from 1 species
CAGUCGCCACGGUAAAACGGAGGGUGCGAGCGUUAAUCGGAAUUACUGGGCGUAAAGCGUGCGCAGGCGGUUCGUUAAGACAGAUGUGAAAUCCCCGGGCUUAACCUGGGAACUGCAUUUGUGACUGGCGAGCUAGAGUAUGGCAGAAGGGGGUAGAAUUCCACGUGUAGCAGUGAAAUGCGUAGAGAUGUGGAGGAAUACCGAUGGCGAAGGCAGCCCCCUGGGCCAAUACUGACGCUCAUGCACGAAAGCGUGGGGAGCAAACAGGAUUAGAUACCCCUGUAGUCCCUGUCUCUUAUAC